GUAGGUGGCAAGCGUUGUCCGGGAAUUAUUGGGGCGUAAAGCGCGCGCAGGCGGUUCUUUAAGUCUGAUGUGAAAGCCCACGGGGGUCAACCGUGGGAGGGUCAUUGGAAACUGGAGAACUUGAGUACAGAAGAGGAAAGCGGAAUUCCACGUGUAGCGGUGAAAUGCGUAGAGAUGUGGAGGAACACCAGUGGCGAAGGCGGCUUUCUGGUCUGUAACUGAGCUGAGGCGCGAAAGCGUGGGGAGCAAACAGGAUUAGAUACCCUGGUAGUCCACGCCGUAAACGAUGAGUGCUAAGUGUUAGGGGGUUUCCGCACCUUAGUGCUGCAGCUAACGCAUUAAGCACUCCGCCUGGGGAGUACGGCCGCAAAGGCUGA
rnacentral:rRNA from 1 species